UGGCAAACAUUCCAAGCAAUAACUCAAAAAUCCAGUUUGGUUUCAUAUCAUCUGCAAUCAACUGUUCUUGCAUGGAGUCCUUUCCUCCUCUUCCAACUACUAAAUUCUAUUCAGGAAAGUGCAUUUCCAUUGGCAAGUGUAAGUCUUUCAUCAGUGGUAAAUCCUUGUAUCCCAGAAUGUUCAUAGGGAGUUGGGAUCUGAGAUUGCUCUGCCAUGACACCUCAAUCCCGAGCUCUCUAUAGCUUGAAAAUAACCAGAACUUAUGAGCCAUCUCAGGUCUGAUAUUCAGCUUUGUGCAAAGCUUUACUAUGAAGACUAGAGGACUUUUUGUGAAUAUGAAGAUGAAUUUUCAUAACUGGACUCUCUGUCUCAAGGGAUUGUCUGACUUCUUCACCUCUUCCAGCUGUGAGUUCCCCCCCUGUUUCUGAUUCCAAUGUUUUCUGACACCGUUGCAUUCCCUGGCACAGGAAGGAUGAAUGGAACAGAAGCUCACAUGUGGAAGAUUACUGAUUUUUGUAGCAUUGCAGACAGGAGCUGCCAGCAGGGAAGCUGAUACAUGGGGGGCUGAGGAGUGAGUGCUAUAGGAGGAAACCAUCUAGAUCUCUUAGACAGCUCAGUAUGUAAUUCUGGUAAUACUAUGGACUCUUUUCAUUCCACUUCUGUAAUAAUUUAUGAGAGCUAAGAGUCUGCAGUUAGUAAUGGGUCUACUAUGGCAAUUUUUCCUCAGAGCUAUAUUCUUAAUGGUACUUUUAUACUAUAUUUUUUUCCCUUUGGGAGCUGAGCUGUUUUGCUUUGUGCUCAAGCUGGGGCAUGGUGUGGGUGGCUGUGGUGCAGAGGGUGCUGUACCUGUGGCUCAGUGGGGCUGUCCCAAAGCUCUGGAGAAGGGGAGGAUAUGCCCAGGGACAUCUCACAUUUCACCAGGAGUUUUUCUCUUAUCUUGAAAGCUAAAUACUGAGAAUUAGGGUUCAGUUAUAUUCCAGUAUCAAGGUAAUUUUCUUUUCUCUUGCCUUUGUACAACAUUCCAGUUCCUCACUAUGCCCCAAGAGAACCAUACUUGACUACACCGCUCAAGGAUGGAGUCUAUAACUUGUUUGUAAGCAAGAAUGCCUGCCAUGUGAUAACAGAAGAAUCCAAGCAGCUAAGUUAAAAUUUUCAUUAUUUUUAAAUAGGUGGCAUCUUUUUUUUCAUGGUAGCGAGAUGGGUGCUGAAUUUUGGCAUUUCUCUCAUGAAAGAUGGAUGUGGUUCAUUUUACCCAUUCAUCUUUUAUACUGUCAGUUGCUACAUUGACUCAUUUUACCCAUUUAGUUUGAUGCCAUCAAAAGGAAAAUUCAAUUCCAGAAAAGCAGAAUGAGAGGAAUUAGGUAACCUGUAGCUAUUGCCAGGUUGGAAUGAAGGGCUUUUCAAGGACCAUCAGCAUAUGAAUAGGAUAACCUCGGAUGCACUGGUAGAAGAAAAGUGACCAGACAUAUUUUUAGCUUUUGGCAGCCAAGGAGAACAGAACCUCUGAAAACAGCAUGACUGAAACUCAGAAUGAAAGAAAUAAUGUGUCAGGAAACUAGGCGUAUAUUGCAGAGGGGAAGCUGAAAUUUUAGGAGAAAAGGGACAAGGAGAUAGGCAGAGUCACAUUGAGAUACAUUUUUACCCUUUGUUUUUCUUCCAAUUUUGAGUUCUUAAAAGAACAUUGUCCACGUGAGUAAAAACGCCAGGUUGUUUGCAAAAGCCUGCCUAAUGCCUCUGCAAAUUCGUGUUGUAUUGAUUCUGAAAGAAGAAGAUACUAAAUAGAUGCCUAUGUUCAUUUGAUGCAAGCUGGAGUUCCUGGAGAGAAACGCGUGCUGUGAACAUGGCAACCAUCUCUGAUGGCCAAAGAUCUAAAACUGGAAUGGUGCUCCUGCCAGGGAAGAACGGCCAGUGUCAAAAUGUGCAGCCUUGAAAAGGUUUUAGCUCUCAUUUAAAAUCCUAUAUCCUUUCACAGUGACCUUUAAUUAUUACACUGACCCUUAACUUGUGAACUGACCUCUGUAUACUAGCUGAUAGUGCCUGGCCUCUGCUGAAAUGCGUGCUGCAGCAGAAGUCUCAAGGCUUGACUGUAUUCGCUCUCAAGAGGUUGUAAGUCAGCAUGAAAUACCUCUUCCAAAUACAAUGUCCCUCUUAGUGUCAAGUUCAUGAGCCUAAGUAGCUUAGAAUAUCUUGUAUAUAUAAAUCUGUGAUUAGAGUUUAAUGAGCUUAUGGUUUAAAUUACUUCACUGAAUAAACUCCAUGCAUAAUUUUAAACAUAUUCCACCAUGGGAGUAUUUUUAAACCUUACUAACCAAUGUUGUCAAAGUACCUUUAAAAGAAUCUCAUAAAGCAAUUUAUCUCGUCACAAAAUCAGGACAAAAAAUGAACAGGAUGACUUCUUCUCUGAAGAUGCUGCUCUCUCUGCAUUGACUAUAAAGUAAGUUUAAAUGGCCGUAUUAAAUUACAUAAGAGAUGACAAAGUGAGGAGACAGGAAUACCAUGAUAAAUCCAGAUUCUUGGGUAAGCAUUCAGAGGUAAGGUUUUUUAUGAUCCCAAUUUUUAUGAAAGUCAACAGGACUUAAAUGAUAAAUGAUUUUCAGACUCACCCUUUCUGUAACUGAAAUCAGUAUCAUCAUGUGUAAGGUGGAAUGAUACAAAGAUGAUGACAGAUGUUCAAAAGGUUAUCUAUAAGGAAAAACUCACCUGAAACAUGGCUUCUCUGUGCUGCAUUUUGUAGCAGUGACUGACGUUUAAUAUUGCACUGUUCAUUAAGCAUAAGGUACCAGAGGUGGAUCUCAUAAAAAGAAGUAAUAAGGAUGCAUUUGUCAUCCAUGGUUCGAAUGCCUGUAAUUGAAAAACCCCAGGUGUUGCCUGCACCUUCCAUAUAUAUACUUUCAAGACACUGUUUUUAAUUUCUGAAUUCUAUAUAAUCUAAUUCUCUUUCAAACGCUGGAUUGGGCUGCUCAAGGAAAUUGUGGAGUCCCCAUCCCUGACGUGUGGAUGUGGCAGCAAGAGAUAUGGUUUAGUGACAGGACUCAAUAGGUCUGGUUGAUGGUGGGAAUUGAUCUUGAAAUUCUUUUCCAACCUAAAUGAUUCUGUGAUUCUAUGAACAGGCAUUAAAACUCUUUAGAGCAAUAUUUCUUCCCUUCUCUUGGGGAUCGGGACCCCAAAUCACAGGUUUCUGUGUAUCAUUGAACAAAAUUCUGUGGGAUUUUUUUGCUUGCUAGGUGAUUAAAAAAAAAAACCUUCAGCUUCUUUGGGAUCUCACAACCUGCAGGCGGUUUGUAAUGAGUUUGGUUGAGAAUGCUGCCAAUAACAGUUCAUAAAAGUGGGCAGUAAAUGAGAUGGUGAAGUCUGUCCUUAUUUAUUUGUUUAGUUUUUCAUGGUAGAGAUUUUUGUUUUUUAAGUCCCUAAAUCAAUUUUAGUUUUUGUAAUCGGUUGCAUAAAGCAGUUGCAUAAAGUGCUUCUCUUCUGGACUCUGGACCUGAUGGUUUGCAGUCUCAGCGCUGGAUGGACAGUUACUUGCUGAAGGACCUUCCAGAUGUGAGGCCACUUGCUGAACAAGCAGCAAAACUGUCCCUGUUCUCUGCAUGAAUGUCAAUAUGGGCCAACUGAGGAAGAAGCAGGUAGUUCAUAGAGAAGUCACUUCUAUGAUCUUCUGAAAAGCAAAAUGUUUACGCUGUGGACGUUGCAGGAGAAAUAGAUUUGCCAGAAAUUAGAGCCAUUCAAUGAAUAAAUUAAUUUAAAUUAAGGCUGCAUUUUCCAGUUUUGAUGAAGACUUUUCCACCUGCUAUUGCUUCAGCUACUUUUUGAAACAAAGAGGAAUUAAAAAUCAAAACAAAACCAACACUGAUUACUGCAAUGAUGUUUUAAAGUUCUAGAAAUGACAACUUUUCUCCCUUUUAUAUAGGAGAUGCAUUUCAUUUUCACAUAUCAGUUAAGCAUACCCUAUAUUCCUAUAUUUUAUUCAGAAUGAUGUCAACUUGUGACACAAGCACUGAGAUUGCUUAGCACAUGUAAACUCCCUGGAAUUAUGCAUGUAUUUGUGUUUAUGCUGUGCAUUUCUUACUCCUAGCUGAAGAAAGUCACCUAGAAUUUAGCAUUACCUUGGAGUUUCUUGGCUUACUCUAAAAGUAAUGGAGUUGCCUGAAGACAUGUAAGUUACUUGGCAAGAAACCCAGUUCUUUGGGAAUAAUGGAAGAGAACAAAGAAACCAUAAAUGUGGUUUUUAAUCAUAACAACUGAUAACUCUAAAUGUCAUUGCUGCCUUUGUCCUAACAAUGGCAAUAAAACAUCCAAGCUUUUACCACACAUACAUUGCAAGUAAUAUAUAUAUAAAAUUGCACAGUAAAUAGAAGUGGAUGAAAUAAGAGAUAGCCUUCCCAUGUGGCAUGGCAAGAUUUAAUUCAUUCAACAGUUUAAGCUAUUAUUUUCACGAUAAAUAAAACACUGUAUAUGAUGCAGACUACAGUAUCAAGUAUGUUCUGAAAUAUUUAUGCAGUUUUUUUAAGGAUUACAAGCACAUCUUACAAGGCUAAGAACUCCAAAGGCUAUGGUGAGCAACUAGAAGCUUUAUCUCAAUUUAGACGGCAAUGGCUUUGUGUGUCUUUGAAACUGUUCAAAUCACUACAAUCUUCAAAGCAAAAGGAAGUGCUUUAAGUAUUUUUCCUUCUCUUUUAGCCAGGAGCUGCAUUUUGGAAUGAACUCAAGUUUGAGCAAAGAGAGUGUUCAAAAUUUUACAAUGUUAUGAUAAAUACUGCAUGACAUCUGCAUAAAACAAGUGCCCACUGUACACAGGAUGGUGCUUUUGUUUAUGUCAGGUCUCUUGAACAUCAGAACUUUCAGGCUGUUCUGGAAUCAGUUUUAUAGAUGAGGGUUGGAUGACUCAAAAGCAUAAUGGCAAUAGAAAACUGCAUCUCAGGUGCUGAACUUAAGUCUUUUUUCUUUCUCACCCCCUCAUUUUUAUCUGUGUUUAACAUUAUUAUCUGUGUGGAGCAAUAACGUUUUGAAGAAAUACCUGAUUUUUGAUGCUUCAGUUAUUUGAUAUCUUUUUUCAAGACAUUUUACAUUUCAGAGAGCGAGUCAGACACUUUCAACAUCCAGACUGGCUGCUUAUACCUUUUCUGAGCUGUAUUUUUUGUCUCUGGAUACAAAGUAAAUUCCCUUAAUGUGAUUAUUAUCAAGAAGACUCAAAAAAACUUUAGCUUCACUCUUCCACUCUUCUGACUGCAGUUUAGCAUCUCACUUUGUGGAGGGUUUGAAAGGCAUGGGAAAUGUAAAAGGACCUGUGACUCUGUGCCACAGUUAGGAAACAUGGAUUUCUCCCUUGUAGAAACCUGUGCUAUGGACUCUUCUCCAUCAUGCAUGAUGCAAAGGCUCAUGCCUGCUGUGUGAACUACUGCUGGAGGAUAAAGGGAGGACUGAGAUCCCCCACUGACACCUUCAGUGUUUGAGACCAGUGAACUCUUCCUGUCUUUCAUAAACUAUGCUCUGUGUGAUUUCUGAAGGUGCUUCGGAUACAGAUUGAAACUGAGCUAAUUUGGAUUACCAUUACUGCAGUGUCUAAUUAGACAGCAGGCAACACAGUCUCUGCUGCUAAAAGAUGAAAUGCUGCACCUCAGUGCUUUCCCCUCAGUUCACCUCUGUAGACCAAAGCUACACAUUUGUCCUUCUGCCAGGUCUGUGGAGCUCGUAGUUUCAGAAAACUGCUGUGCUCCCAUCCACUGAAAGGAAAACUGUGGGCUGAUAUCCUGUGUUCAUGCUGCAAGUAGUAGUAGAUGAAAAAAAUCCUUAUCCAUAAAAUGCUUGUUUGUUCUACAGUAUUUACGAUGCCUUUCUGUUACUGUCUCUUCCUAGAUUAUGGUAAACUGAGAUGAUGCCUUAAAUUUCCAUGCAGUAUUAACUUCUUAUUAUAUCCACUUGAUUUGUUUAAAAGCAGUUAAACGAUAAACCAAAGCAAUGUUUUUGGGUCUAGGAUGUAGAGCACCUAGUACUGAGAGGGAAUGAUGUGAAUUUUCAGCUCCAUGUGUGGACUGCAAAUAGCACUGAAAGAAAUCAUGGCUUGAUUCCCUUGGCUAAAAGGGGCUUCCUGCACUACACUGCUGAGCUCUUUCUUUGCUGUUGUGAAAAAUUUCUUUUUCACUGUUUCUAGCAGGAAUUAGAGGUGCAGCUUUUCAACGGCUCUUUAUUAUUGCAGGGAAUUACAAAGGAGGACAAAUCAGAGACGCUUCAAAAGUAAUGAGAAUUCAAGGCUAUUUCUGGCUUAUAGUGAUGUGAAAAUGCUUCGGUAUUUUUUGUAACACUAGAAAUCUAAACAGCUCUCGAUUCCAGUUCUGGAGCAUUGAAAAGUUCUCUCUGUUUAUAUUCUGUUAACACCAGCACUAAAACACUAACUGUUAAUUGAUCCCCUUUUUCCAUCAAGGCCUGUACUGCAGUCCAGUAAAAGUAUUUUUGAUUCUCUGGAUUGCGGCAGGAUGGAGGCAUGGCUCUUUCAAGGAGAAAAAGAAACAAAUUAAAAAUGGGAAGAAUCAGAGCAGACAUGGAAACAGAUAUAAUCAGAAAUGAUUAAUCAGACAAAAUGAGGAGAUUGAGGAGGCUGAUAAAGGGAAACUCUUUUAAGACUUUUAGUCAUUAGAAGGGAGUUUGAUGUUUUUGUGUUCUUUUUUUUUUUUUUUUUUUUUGCUAUAUUCAACACAAAUGUAGCAUAACUGAUUAGUUAUCACAUUAUCAUUAACAACACUGAGGACUAAAGAAGGAUGAAUUAUUCAUGUAAAACCAGUGCAGAUAGACACUUGAGGACAUAAUUUGUUUCAUAUCUUCCUCUAAAAGAAGCAAUUCUCUUUCUUUUUUUUUUUACUAUUCCUUCAAAGAAAAAAAAAAGGAGAAGGAAAAAAGUCUGUUUUACAAUAAUCAGUGAAGUCAAUCUAAGGGGAGAAAAAAAGAGCUUUACUGCAUACAGAGGAAUUUCCCAGUGUGCUGAGUUAAAUGCAUUGCUAUUUUAAUGCAUUAUAGAUAAUGUAUAUCUUUGCAAUGUUGCAGUGGCACCCCAGUGAAAAAGCCUCUCAGCUAACCCUGGUAAGUACCUACUGCAUUCUGAUACCCCACUUCUAGUGUAGUUGAACCAAUUUUUCCCUUUAGAACAAAUUAGAGCACCAAACGUGUCAAGCCUUCUUCUAAAAGCCUUGGAAACUUAAACAGAAAGCCUGUUAUAUGUGUGGGCUGAAUUGCUAACAAAGAUGCUCUGUGCUUUUUGGUUUGCAGAGACGAAACAAUCAGAGCACUAUUAGGUCCUUUCCUAAAGCAUCGCAACAAGUAACUGAUCAUUGCCACUCUUGUACAGCACCAGUUGUGAUAAAUACAUGGAACUAAUUGCAAUGAAUACGGAAUUCUGUAGGAAUCCCACAAUUUCAUUUAGGUUUAAUUGAUAUAAACAGUAAUUUGUGCUUGAAUCCACAAUGGGAUCCUUUUGUGAGUAUUUGCUCAGGAGAAAUAGAUCUUUCUACCAAAGAAACAGAUCUUUCUACCAGUUCUACAGUACAAUGUUUACAUACAGCAGUAUUGUAUAGCUUAAUGUUAAAGCUUUCUCUCUGCCAUCACAUGUUGUAAGCGCAAAUUCUUUAAAACUGGUUGAUUAAAAUCUGUCUGCAGUUGUAGAAAAUCAAAUAUGUAAGAACCGAUUUAGCUCCAGUUUGCUCAAUUAUCGUAAUUUACAGAUCAAUAUGUAAAAUUUCAUAGUAUGCUUUAAAAAGCAAAUAAAUCUUUCAGAUUUGCCUUAGGCUUUCCUAGGGAAAAAAACUGCACAGGAACAGAACUGCUGAUUUCUGAUUCUAAGAGGAAACAGAUGUGAAUGAGAAAAUGAAUGCUAAACGUUGAUUGUGAACCAAGAGCAGCCAACAUCCACCUUGCUGCAGCCUGGGAUGGCACCUAGCUCAGGGGCAGCUAACAUUAUUUUAUACCAUCUUUAUCAACAGUGUUAGUGUUUUCAACUUCUGCACAACAGUCACUCUCUGUCUCACCUUGGUCAAUGCACUUCGAUUUGCCACAUCGCACAGUUGUUGAUGUCUGGGACUAUAGGUUUAUUCUGUUGAUGGUGCUUACUUUCCCUGCUAGGGAACAUUGAUCAGACUGGCU